UACGUAGGCAGCGAGCGUUGUUCGGAGUUACUGGGCGUAAAGGGUGUGUAGGCGGUUGUUUAAGUUUGGUGUGAAAUCUCCCGGCUCAACUGGGAGGGUGCGCCGAAUACUGAAUGACUUGGAGUGCGGGAGAGGAGAGUGGAAUUCCUGGUGUAGCGGUGAAAUGCGUAGAUAUCAGGAGGAACACCGGUGGUGUAGACGGCUCCUGC
rnacentral:rRNA from 1 species